GUCUAUGGCCAUACCACCCUGAAUGCGCCCGAUCUCGUCUGAUCUCGGAAGCUAAGCAGGGCCGGGCCUGGUCAGUACUUGGAUGGGAGAAAGAGGAACUUAAGAAC
rnacentral:rRNA from 1 species